CCAAAUCCAACGGACAAGGGUCGUUUUAGUGGCUUCGAUAUCGUCGAGGGUUUUAUGGGAUUUCUGUCCCUCCCAAAGAGAGAGAGGUGGGAGAAGUAUGGAUGGCGUUGAGGGUUUUUUGGGAUUUUGUCCGUUGCAGAGAGAGAUGGGGAGAAGUAUGGGGUAGGGGAGAGGCUUUUCUGCCAUUGAAUGUGUGGGCCGUUCUUCACGCAUUCCAUUUCAUCUCCUUUCGUUUUGGCUCUCUUCCCUCUCGCUCUUCACUGCGCGCCUCUACGCAUUGAGGAUAUUGGGAAGGCUUUCAGUUUGAUGAAGGAAAUUGCAGUUGAUUUUGAAAGGGCUAAGAAGUUUGAGAAGAUUAAUGGUAAUUGAAAAUGCAUUAUGGAAUCAGAAUCCGCAGCAGCGUGCGGGCAAUGUUCCUAGUGAUUGCUAACGUAGCAACUUUAGUUACGAAAGUGAAACACGGUUCAAAUUGAAAGAACUAAAACUCGUAGCAAAACAAAUCAUGCCUUGAUGAAAUUGAAUGGGAGAAUUAGAGAUGAAAUUCCACACCUUUGCUAAAUUGUCGGCUGGUGCUUCGGAAUCUCUCGUGGCGGCGUAGGGAACGUGCUUCUCCUCCGCAUCGUUAGGCGCUGCAUCAAGGGUCACCAGCGGUAUAUUCUCUUCCGACAGUAGUGAUUUGUCCAGCUGCUCUCUAUGCGACGACAUACUUGUGGUUGUUUUUACCAAAUUUCCGAAAAUAUUUGCCUUGAUUAGGCCCCUUUUAGGUUGUGGAAACUUCGGUACAGAGGACGAGGACGAGGACGAUUCCAUUCUCUGCAAUGACGAUUCCAUUGAGAAGUAGAAAGUAGUAAGUAAAUCGGGUUCCAAAAUCGCUAACUAGGAAAUGCAGGUGAGGCAGAUGUACUACUCAAUUUUCUUGAACCUCAGUCUUUGAGGAAGGCGACUGGCAAUUAGAGACGACUAUUUUUGGUCAAUAAUUGAGUGGACUGUGCACGCGUGAAUCAUAGGGUCUUAUUCCCUAUAAUGUAAUAAUUUUUUGUCAAUAAUUGAGUAGACCGAAUGCCAUUGAAUCAUAGUCUUAUAUCAUUUUCAAAAGAAAUGUGAAAUUAUAAGGAUCAAAUUAUAACUGAUGACUGAUGUAGCAAUUUGAAGUUUUAUGUCAAAUUUUGUACUUUUUC